rnacentral:rRNA from 1 species
GACGAAGGAUGCAAGCGUUAUCCGGAUUCAUUGGGUUUAAAGGGAGCGUAGGUGGCCUUAUAAGUCAGUGGUGAAAUCUCUGGGCUUAACCCAGAAAUUGCCAUUGAUACUGUAGGGCUUGAGUAUAGAUGCCGUUGGCGGAAUAUGACAUGUAGUGGUGAAAUACAUAGAGAUGUCAUAGAACACCGAUUGCGAAGGCAGCUAACGAAACUAUAACUGACACUGAGGCUCGAAAGUGUGGGGAGCAAACAGG